AAACACUGAGGCGUGAUGACGAUGUCUUUCAGACAAUAAAGUGGCUGGGUCCAUGCUUCCAGGAAAAGCCUCGUAUCUAGUUGUACGUGCGACCGUACCGUAAACCGACACAGGUGGGCUGGUAGAGAAUACCAAGGCGCUUGAGAGAACUCUGGUUAAGGAACUCGGCAAAAUAGCACCGUAACUUCGGGAGAAGGUGUGCCUGUAUGGUGAAGUUAUUUACUGACGGAGCCUACGCAGGUUGCAGUGAAAUGGGGGGAGCGACUGUUUACUAAAAACACAGGACUCUGCGAAGUCGAAAGACGAAGUAUAGGGUCUGACGCCUGCCCGGUGCCGGAAGGUUAAGGGGACAUGUCAGCGCAAGCGAAGCAUCGAACCGAAGCCCCGGUAAACGGCGGCCGUAACAAUAACGGUCCUAAGGUAGCGAAAUUCCUUGUCGGGUAAGUUCCGACCUGCACGAAUGGCGUAACGAUUUCCCCACUGUCUCAACCAGAGACUCAGCGAAACUGCAGCACCGGUGAAGAUGCCGGUUACCCGCAACAAGACAGAAAGACCCCGUGAACCUUUACUAUAGCUUGGCAUUGGUUUUUGAGGCAACAUGUGUAGGAUAGGUGGGAGGCUUUGAAGUGGGCACGCCAGUGUUCAUGGAGCCACCCUUGAAAUACCACCCUUGUUGCCUUAGGAAUCUAACCGCGAUCCGUUAUCCGGAUCCGGGACAUUGUCUGGUGGGUAGUUUGACUGGGGCGGUCGCCUCCCAAAGAGUAACGGAGGCGCGCGAUGGUUCCCUCAGGCUGAUUGGAAACCAGCCGUAGAGUGUAAAGGCAUAAGGGAGCUUGACUGCGAGACGGACACGUCGAGCAGGUACGAAAGUAGGUCUUAGUGAUCCGGCGAUUCCGCAUGGAAGGGUCGUCGCUCAACGGAUAAAAGGUACUCCGGGGAUAACAGGCUUAUCUCCCCCAAGAGUCCAUAUCGACGGGGAGGUUUGGCACCUCGAUGUCGGCUCAUCACAUCCUGGGGCUGGAGCAGGUCCCAAGGGUUUGGCUGUUCGCCAAUUAAAGUGGUACGUGAGCUGGGUUUAAAACGUCGUGAGACAGUGGGUCCUUAUCUGUUGCGGGCGCAGGAUAUUUGAGGAGAUCUUCCCCUAGUACGAGAGGACCGGGGUGGACGAACCUAUGGUGUACCAGUUGUUCCGCCAGGGGCAUCGCUGGGUAGCUAAGUUCGGAAGGGAUAACCGCUGAAAGCAUCUAAGCGGGAAACCCACUCCAAGAUGGGAUAUCCCAUGGCAUAAGCCAUCUCAAGGCUCGUCGUAGACUACGACGUCGAUAGGUCGGGUGUGGAAGUGUGGCAACACAUGGAGCUUACCGAUACUAAUCAGCCGUGCGGCUUAUCCAU
rnacentral:rRNA from 1 species